rnacentral:rRNA from 1 species
AUUGAACGCUGGCGGAAUGCUUUACACAUGCAAGUCGAACGGCAGCACGGACUUCGGUCUGGUGGCGAGUGGCGAACGGGUGAGUAGUGUAUCGGAACGUGCCCAGUCGUGGGGGAUAACGUAGUGAAACUUACGCUAAUACCGCAUACCAUCUAUGGACGCAAGCGGGGGAUCGCAAGACCGCGCCCGAUUGGAGAGGCCGAUAUCAGAUUAGGUAGUUGGUGGGGUAAAGGCCCACCAAGCCAACGAUCUGUAGCUGGUCUGAGAGGACGACCAGCCACACUGGAACUGAGACACGGUCCAGACUCCUACGGUAGGCAGCAUUGGGGAAUUUUGGACAAUGGGCGAAAGCCUGAUCCAGCCAUUCCACGUGCAGGAUGAAGGCCCUCGGGUUGUAAACUGCUUUUGUACAGAACGAAAAGGUUUCUACUAAUACUAGGAGCUCAUGACGGUGCUGUAAGAAUAAGCACCGGCUAACUACGUGCCAGCCGCCGCCGUAA